rnacentral:rRNA from 1 species
CACCAGCGCCACAAGUGGGAGCCGCGAUUAUUUGGCCUAAAGCGUCCGUAGCUGGUCUGAAAAAUCUUUUGUGAAAUUGUGCGGCUUAACCGUACAACGUGCAGAAGACACUCUCAGACUAGGAACCGGGAGAGGUUAGGAGUAUUCUUGGUGGAGCGGUAAAAUGUUAUAAUCCCAAGAAGACUACCAGUGGCGAAGGCGCCUAACCAGAACGGCUUCGACGGUGAGGGACGAAAGCUAGGGGAGCGAUCCGG